rnacentral:rRNA from 1 species
AGAGUUUGAUCCUGGCUCAGGAUGAACGCUAGCUACAGGCUUAACACAUGCAAGUCGAGGGGAAACGAUAUUGGAAGCUUGCUUCCGAUAGGCGUCGACCGGCGCACGGGUGAGUAACGCGUAUCCAACCUGCCCACCACUUGGGGAUAACCUUGCGAAAGUAAGACUAAUACCCAAUGAUAUCUCUAGAAGACAUCUGAAAGAGAUUAAAGAUUUAUCGGUGAUGGAUGGGGAUGCGUCUGAUUAGCUUGUUGGCGGGGUAACGGCCCACCAAGGCAACGAUCAGUAGGGGUUCUGAGAGGAAGGUCCCCCACAUUGGAACUGAGACACGGUCCAAACUCCUACGGGAGGCAGCAGUGAGGAAUAUUGGUCAAUGGACGAGAGUCUGAACCAGCCAAGUAGCGUGCAGGAAGACGGCCCUAUGGGUUGUAAACUGCUUUUAUAAGGGAAUAAAGUGAGUCUCGUGAGACUUUUUGCAUGUACCUUAUGAAUAAGGACCGGCUAAUUCCGUGCCAGCAGCCGCGGUAAUACGGAAGGUCCGGGCGUUAUCCGGAUUUAUUGGGUUUAAAGGGAGCGUAGGCCGGAGAUUAAGCGUGUUGUGAAAUGUAGAUGCUCAACAUCUGAACUGCAGCGCGAACUGGUUUCCUUGAGUACGCACAAAGUGGGCGGAAUUCGUGGUGUAGCGGUGAAAUGCUUAGAUAUCACGAAGAACUCCGAUUGCGAAGGCAGCUCACUGGAGCGCAACUGACGCUGAAGCUCGAAAGUGCGGGUAUCGAACAGGAUUAGAUACCCUGGUAGUCCGCACGGUAAACGAUGGAUGCCCGCUGUUGGUCUGAAUAGGUCAGCGGCCAAGCGAAAGCAUUAAGCAUCCCACCUGGGGAGUACGCCGGCAACGGUGAAACUCAAAGGAAUUGACGGGGGCC